UCUCCCUGGCUCACCUUCCCCACUGUCACCUAGGCCACCUCUGGGGCCUCCUGACUGAAGAGUUUCACAAGCUCCUAAAUCCUCAAAAGUCUCCACCCCCUCCGUGUAGAUCAAGAGGGAGGCUGUGAAGUGCAACCUACCCCAGGAACUGCAGGGAGGCAUUGCCUCGGAGCCCCUCUGCCAGCGUCCGGGCCCCCGCAGACGUGAUGUGGUUGUUGCCCAGCCUGGAAGAGAAGAGGACAGAGGAGGCUGAGAGAGCACAGGUAUUAUUGUGCCCUUCCAACGGGUGUGUGGCGGCCAUGAGCCGCGCCUCUCAGUCUCCAACCUCAGCUCCCUGGAAGUAACUGAGGUCCGAAAUCUGGCAGCACGGCGCCCGCAGGCUGACCGAGACAGGAGACGCGCCUGCUAGUGAGUCUGGCACGAGGACUCCCCACUAGCCUUGCUGAAGUCUCCUAGGACUGCACUGAAGUCCAGGGGCUUCCUCCCAACCUUCGUCCUUCCCUCUCUUCACUCAAGGUCAGACACCCCAGCCUCCCCAGUGUCCUUCCCACCUCCUCUCCUAGGAAUUGUCCCCAGUAAAUUUGUUGCACAUCUAAUCCCUUCUUGGAGGAUAAACAGGCUGAGUGCCUACACGACUGACCCACCACCUUUCUGUCCCCGAAAGACGAUAUAAAGCCUCACUCCCCUGUGCCAGCCCUUUAUGUGUAUUAACAUUAACCUGCUUAAUCGUCACAACAGCCUGUGAGGUGGUGUGCCACAGUUUGGAUGUUUGUCCCUUCUAAAGUCUUAGGUUGAAACGUGAUCCCCAGGGUUGGAGGUGGAGCCUCACGGGAGGUGUUUGGGUCGUAGGGGCGGAUCCUUCCUGCAUGUCUUGGUGCCCUCCCGCGACAAUGAGGGCGUUCCCACUCUGUCAGUUCCCACCAGAGCUGGUCCUUAAGGAGAGCCUGGCACCUCCUUCUUCCCUCUUCUUCCUCUCUCUCGCCGUCUCUGCACACUCCGGCUACCCCUCACCUUCCACCUGAGGCCCUCACCCAAUCUUGAAUUUUUCCAGACGUCAGAAUCAUGGGCCAAAUAAACCUUUUUUCUUUAUAAAUUA